UUUUUAUGUAUGUUACAUCAGAACUUUUGACUGGGUAGACCGAUUUCGACAAAUUUUGUUUUAAUCGAAAGGUUUUGUGUGCCAAUUGGUCCCAUUUAAAUUUAUUUGAGAUCUAACAACUACUUUUCGAGUUAUAUCUAAUAAUGCGUUUUUACUUGACGCUUUUUUCGUCGACCUACGUUGUAUUAUACCACAUAACUUUCUACUGGAUGUACCGAUUUUAAUAA
rnacentral:misc_RNA from 1 species